rnacentral:tRNA from 1 species
GGAGAGGUUUACAAGUGGUCGAAUGUACCUGACUCGAAAUCAGGCGUAGGUGCAAGCCUACCGUGGGUUCGAAUCCCACCCUCUCCG